GACGAACGCUGGCGGCGUGCUUAACACAUGCAAGUCGAACGGUAAGGCCCUUCGGGUACGACGAGUGGCGAACGGGUGAGUAACACGUGGUGAUCUGCCCUGCACUUCGGGAUAAGCCUGGGAAACUGGGUCUAAUACCGGAUAGGACUCCUGGCUUCAUGGUUGGGGUGUAAAGCUUUUGCGGUGUGGGAUGGGCCCGCGGCCUAUCAGCUUGUUGGUGGGGUAAUGGCCUACCAAGGCGACGACGGGUAGCCGGCCUGAGAGGGUGACCGGCCACACUGGGACUGAGAUACGGCCCAGACUCCUACGGGAGGCAGCAGUGGGGAAUAUUGCACAAUGGGCGCAAGCCUGAUGCAGCGACGCCGCGUGAGGGAUGACGGCCUU
rnacentral:rRNA from 1 species